rnacentral:lncRNA from 1 species
AAAUGGGGAUAAAAAAAUGUGAGCCCCACGUGUGACAAUCUGAUUACCCUGUAUCCAGCCCAGCGCUUAGAACGGUGCUCUGCACAUAGUAAGGGCUUAACAAAUACCAUAAUAAUUAUUAGUAGUAGUAAGGGCUCAAUAGGAUUGAAUGAAUGAAUCCCCAUUUUAGGUAACCGAGGGCCCGAGAAGCGAAGCGACUUGCCCAGAGCCACCCAGCUGAGAAGCGGCGGGGGCGGGAUUAGAACCCAAGAGCCCUUGACUCCGAACCGGCCUCUUUGCCAGUAAGCCACGAUGCUUCUCAGAGGAGCACGGGGAGGGAGGGAGAGGAGGAGGGGACGGAGGGAGGAGAGAGGGAGGGAGCGGCUGCCGCUUCCCAUUUGAAAGCGGAGCAGACUUGGGUUCGGCCCCCGUGGGUUGCCAUGGAGACGCCUUCGGAGGGGCCGGGCGCCGGGGGGCUAAGAUUAGGGGGGCAACCAAAAUAUGCAGCGUGCAGGCCGCCGCCGCCCCACCCACCUGCCCGGGCCACCGGGUGGGCCCGGAUCGGGCCGGGGAGGGACCUUCUGCACCCAGCUUGCUGGGGCGCUGGACCCCGGGGCCGGAGCUCCUUCCUCCUCCCUUUCCCCUCCCCCCCUCCUCCUCCCUCUUCCUCCUCUUCUCUCCUCCUCCCCUCCACCUCUUUCCUCCUCCUGCUCUUCCCUUCUUCCUCUCCUUCUCUUCCUCCCUCCUCCUCCUCCCUCUUCCUCCGCCUCCCUCCUCCUUCCUCUCCUCCUCCUUCUCCCUUCCUCUUCCCUCCUCCUUCUCCCUUCCUCUUCCCUCCUCCUUCCUCUCCUCCCUCGUCCUCCUCCCUCCUUCUUCCUCCUUCCUCCUCCCUCCUUCUUCCUCCUCUUACUCUUCCCUCCUUCCUCUCCUCCUUCUCCUCCUCCCUCCUCCUCCGCCCCCCUCCGUCUUUCCUCCUCCUUCCUCCUCUUCCUCCUCCGGGCGGCCGGGCGCCUUCCCCCGCCGCCCUCCCCGGCCCCCUUUUCCUCCAUGCUCCGCCGGAGGGCCGCGGGACCAGCCGUUGCCGAGCCGGCGGACGGACGCCCCUGGCCGGGAAGCCCACCCCAUCAUCCCCAUCCCCGCCGCCUGCGCGGCGCCCUCCCGCCCUCCCGGAUUCUGCCCUUCUCUUUGCGGCGGGGGCUCCGUUUGAAAUGCCCGCACGGAGCCCCCCGGGGGGCGGGGGCCGGAGGCGGAGCCCCGGGGACCGCGCCUGAGCCGGCCCGGGGAGACACACGCAGAGACCCGCAGAGACACAGUGAGACCGAGACACAGAGAGGGGUGGGGGCGCCCGGGCCUGGCCCCCCGGGGGGGGGGAGCCGACAGCCGAGCCCCACCCCCCCGGCUGCACUGCGAUCCCAGAUGUACAUGGACAAGAACGGCACUUGGGGUCAGGAAGCUCGUAAACCAAAUCUAGCUGAGCCUGGACAGAUCCAUUUGGGACCGGAGAGGAGCGCGUGUCUGCCUAAGCCGGGGACGCGGUAAGUGUUCCCCCUCAGGUUGGCGGGGGAGGGUCCUGGCCAUCUGGGUAGCCAUGGCAGGGGCUGGGCCCCAGUGGCAAGA